rnacentral:rRNA from 1 species
AACGAACGCUGGCGGCAUGCCUAACACAUGCAAGUCGAACGAGACCUUCGGGUCUAGUGGCGCACGGGUGCGUAACGCGUGGGAACCUGCCCUUAGGUUCGGAAUAACUCCCCGAAAGGGGUGCUAAUACCGGAUAAUGUCUUCGGACCAAAGAUUUAUCGCCUUUGGAUGGGCCCGCGUUGGAUUAGCUAGUUGGUAGGGUAAAAGCCUACCAAGGCGACGAUCCAUAGCUGGUCUGAGAGGAUGAUCAACCACACUGGGACUGAGACACGGCCCAGACUCCUACGGGAGGCAGCAGUGGGGAAUAUUGGACAAUGGGCGGAAGCCUGAUCCAGCAAUGCCGCGUGAGUGAUGAAGGCCUUAGGGUUGUAAAGCUCUUUUACCCGGGAUGAUAAUGACAGUACCGGGAGAAUAAGCGCCGGCUAACUCCGUG